UACGAAGGGGGCUAGCGUUGUUCGGAAUUACUGGGCGUAAAGCGCGUGUAGGCGGGUCGUUAAGUCGGGGGUGAAAGCCCAGAGCUCAACUCUGGAACUGCCUUCGAUACUGGCGACCUGGACCCAAGUAGAGGCGGGUGGAAUUGCGAGUGUAGAGGUGAAAUUCGUAGAUAUUCGCAAGAACACCAGUGGCGAAGGCGGCUCACUGGCCCGGUACUGACGCUGAGGUGCGAAAGCGUGGGGAGCAAACAGG
rnacentral:rRNA from 1 species